UACGACCACAUUACGUUGAAAUACCGGUUUCCGUACGAUCACCGAAGUUAAGCAACAUUGAGGCUAGUCUGUACCUAGAUGGGUGGCCGCUUGGGGAUACCAGGUAU
rnacentral:rRNA from 1 species